UUUGUCAAAGCCCUUGUUCUUUGCCGGCCAACCUUCAUAUUCCUCUUCUUCUCCAACACGCAGGCCCGAAAACCCCUAAUUUUAUUUAUUAAUAUAUAUAUAUAUAUAUUUUUUUUUUUUUAUUUCCAUUCUCACUUCUCCGUCGGCCGCCAUCGCCAGGGCUUCACAGUCUUCUUCUUCUUCUUCAAAGGCAGAACUUGUCGCUAGAGUUACUCGGUUCAUUCUUUCGAGCUGCAAAAUCAGGUUUGCAUUCACCACCAGGCUCUAUACUCUCGGGGCUUGUUCAUUUAUUUAUGUUAGAUGCUCUGCAUUUCUUAGCCUUAUUCGAAUGAGUAUUUGUUUGAAGUGUAGGAAUUUUUAGUGCAUAAGCUCAUUGUUACGUUUGUAUGGUUACAAUGGCGCGGGAGUCAGGAAUUAUGAUGUUCGAACUUUGAAGUGAUGAGAUUGAUGUUUGCUUCUUUUAU
rnacentral:lncRNA from 1 species